UUAUAGACUUUGAAAAGGAAUAGUAGAAGCAUUAAUCUUUCAAAGAGAGGGGAUGGUUGGUGGAAAUCCCUAAAGACAUGUUUCGAACCGGCCUUGGAGUCCUGCACCGAAGAUUUUAGUAGGCUGCAGCGGGUGUCCCGUUAUAGAUGUGAGAGAAUAUACCUUAAAUUAGGUAUGUUAAUUAGGGUGGUACCGCCGAAUAAUUGCCUCGGUCCCUUUA
rnacentral:ncRNA from 1 species